GGGGUUGUGGCUCAGUGGUAGAGUGCUUGCCUUGCAUGCAUAAGGCCCUGAGUUCAAUCCCUAACAACACAA
rnacentral:tRNA from 1 species